UACGGGGGGGGCAAGCGUUGUUCGGAUUUACUGGGCGUAAAGGGCGCGUAGGCGGCCAGCACAAGUCAGUUGUGAAAUCUCCGAGCUUAACUCGGAAAGGUCAACUGAUACUGUGCGGCUAGAGUGCAGAAGGGGCAACUGGAAUUCUUGGUGUAGCGGUGAAAUGCGUAGAUAUCAAGAGGAACACCUGCGGCGAAGGCGGGUUGCUGGGCUGACACUGACGCUGAGGCGCGAAAGCUAGGGGAGCGAACGGG
rnacentral:rRNA from 1 species